rnacentral:rRNA from 1 species
GACGAACGCUGGCGGCGUGCUAACACAUGCAAGUCGAACGGAAAGGCCCUGCUUUUGUGGGGUGCUCGAGUGGCGAACGGGUGAGUAACACGUGAGUAACCUGCCCUUGACUUUGGGAUAACUUCAGGAAACUGGGGCUAAUACCGGAUAGGAGCUCCUGCUGCAUGGUGGGGGUUGGAAAGUUUCGGCGGUUGGGGAUGGACUCGCGGCUUAUCAGCUUGUUGGUGGGGUAGUGGCUUACCAAGGCUUUGACGGGUAGCCGGCCUGAGAGGGUGACCGGCCACAUUGGGACUGAGGUACGGCCCAGACUCCUACGGGAGGCAGCAGUGGGGAAUAUUGCACAAUGGGCGGAAGCCUGAUGCAGCAACGCCGCGUGCGGGAUGACGGCCUUCGGGUUGUAAACCGCUUUCGCCUGUGACGAAGCGUGAGUGACGGUAAUGGGUAAAGAAGCACCGGCUAACUACGUG